rnacentral:rRNA from 1 species
GACGAACGCUGGCGGCGUGCCUAAUACAUGCAAGUCGAGCGGACCAAAGGGAGCUUGCUCCUGGAGGUUAGCGGCGAACGGGUGAGUAACACGUGGGCAACCUGCCUGUAAGACUGGGAUAACAUCGAGAAAUCGGUGCUAAUACCGGAUAAUAAAAGAACUGCAUGGUUCUUUUUGAAGAUGGUUUCGGCUAUCACUUACAGAUGGCCGCGGCGCAUUAGCUAGUUGGUGAGGUAACGGCUCACCAAGGCGACGAUGCGUAGCCGACCUGAGAGGGUGAUCGGCCACACUGGGACUGAGACACGGCCCAGACUCCUACGGGAGGCAGCAGUAGGGAAUCUUCCGCAAUGGACGAAAGUCUGACGGAGCAACGCCGCGUGAGUGAUGAAGGUUUUCGGAUCGUAAAACUCUGUUGUUAGGGAAGAACAAGUGCCGUUCGAAAGGGCGGCACCUUGACGGUACCUAACGAGAAAGCCACGGCUAACUACGUGCCAGCAGCCGCGGUAA